CAUCAGAUGACUGAAAGCAAGUAAUGGUCUCUUAAACCAGUUUAUGAUACCUUAGCGAGUAUCUUUGAUGA
rnacentral:tRNA from 1 species